AACUUACACAAAUCAAAAAUCUAUUUCCUAAAUUUUGAUGUCAAUUAACAUGUCAACUCUCAUAUUUUUUUAAGAAUUUUAAAUCUAGGAUCAAGUUCAAAUUUCUCAAAGUAUCAUCAAUUCAACAAAAUAAAAAGAAGAAUUUCAAGAAAAUUAAUAACUUUCAAAUAAUCUAUCGUUGCACCAACAAGAGGAAUCCAAUUUAAUUCAUGUUUUUGCUUUCAAACCUAUAUGCCAUAAUGGUAAUCAUUAUCCAAUAAUGACAAUUGAUAUAACCAAUCACUGACAGCAACUUGCUGCCCCAAUCUUUUGCCAUAACUUCCAUCCUAUAAUUUCCACUUAAAUCAUCCAACAAUAUAUAAUUGCUAGUAAAAAAAAAUCUAGUUCAAAAUUUCAAUUCACUUUAACCAUUAACUUAACAAUCAAUUGGUAAUGACUACAUAAUGAUUAUUCCAUAAACAAAAUAAUCAAAGCCUACCCACUGUAGUUAUAUAUAUGAUCAACACGCAUAUAAAUUCCAAUCCAAAAUUUGCUUAUUCACCUUUCUCAAUCUACAAAUGAUUAUAAUAAUAAUUAUUAUUAUUUAAUGCAUUUUGACCUCUAAGAAUAGCAUAUUCACAAAUACACAAAUUAAUGCAGGAUUCGAACUUACCUCGAUGAAAGAUUAAGCGGUUCCCAUGACGACCAUCGUUUCCCAGAAGUCAAUUCUUAUGCCGGCGGCCGGUUUGCACAGGAAAAAAAGAAAAUCGAAAAGGAUGGAUGUCGGGAGUGGGUGGAGUGUUCUGGCAAGGAAGAAACUUUUUUGGGGGGUUGAGAACAUAGUUUUUACUUUAUUUUAAUUUCUAACUUAUUUUUAAAUUGUUGUUAUGGGAUAAUUCCAUCUGUUCUUUUUUUAAUAGUUAUAGUGACAUGUUAGCCGCUAUUGUAUAACACAUAACUUCUAUUUUUAGUUGAUUGUAAAAAAUGUUCGAUGCAUUUUUUUAAAAUUAAAAAUGAUGUUCAUUUGGAACAAGCCUAAGAUAUGGUGUUCAAGUGAAAUAUGCGAAAAAACUUUAAGGGGUCGCAAAUGACUUAAUCUUAAUGAAAAUCACAUAUAAUUGAUAUUUUGACCCCAUUAGCUUGAAAAUUCAAAAAAAUAAAUAUUUAUUUCAUAAUAUAUUUUUAUUGGCAUACUAUAAGUCAACUACUCAAUUUAUUAUAACUCAACUCAUACAUAAAGAUCCAUCUAAA